UACGGGGGGGGCAAGCGUUGUUCGGAAUUACUGGGCGUAAAGGGCUCGUAGGCGGCCAACUAAGUCAGACGUGAAAUCCCUCGGCUUAACCGGGGAACUGCGUCUGAUACUGGAUGGCUAGAGGUUGGGAGAGGGAUGCGGAAUUCCAGGUGUAGCGGUGAAAUGCGUAGAUAUCUGGAGGAACACCGGUGGCGAAGGCGGGUCUCUGGGCCGAUACUGACGCUGAGGAGCGAAAGCGUGGGGAGCGAACAGG
rnacentral:rRNA from 1 species